GACGAACCGUGCGAACGUUGUUCGGAAUCACUGGGCUUAAAGGGCGCGUAGGCGGGUCAGCCAGUUCGGGGUGAAAUCCUCCGGCUUAACCGGAGAACUGCCUCGAAGACGACUGAUCUGGAGGGAGGUAGGGGUCGCUGGAACUUCCGGUGGAGCGGUGAAAUGCGUUGAUAUCGGAAGGAACGCCGGUGGCGAAAGCGAGCGACUGGACCUUUACUGACGCUGAGGCGCGAAAGCUAGGGGAGCAAACGGG
rnacentral:rRNA from 1 species